rnacentral:misc_RNA from 1 species
ACCUUCGGUUGAUCGGUCAGCUGAAAUACAUUCACGCAUUGGGGGCUGCUCUCCUUUCAAAGAGAGAGGCGAGUUCCGAUUUGGUAGGUGACCUUUGCCGGUUGCAUGCCUUCGUUGCCCGCUACGCUUUCCAGCUGCGCUGUGCAGGACGCCUUUUGGCUUUCGACCUGAGGUCAGGCAAGAACACCCGCUGAACUUAA